rnacentral:lncRNA from 1 species
GGAAGUGGGGUGUGAAGCUCCGGUGCUGGUGCGGCGGGGGACUGCGGGGCCAGCCUCAGGUAGCAGCAGCAGCAGCAGCAGCAGCAGCAGCAGCAGCAGCAGCAGCAGCAGCAGCAGCAGCAAUGUUUCACUUCUUCAGAAAGCCUCCGGAAUCUAAAAAGCCCUCAGUACCAGAGACAGAAGCAGAUGGAUUCGUCCUUUUAGGAGAUACAACAGAUGAGCAAAGAAUGACAGCAAGAGGCAAAACUUCGGACAUAGAGGCCAACCAACCUUUGGAGCGGACAAGGCAAAAUCUCAGCAAGUUCGGACCUCUAGUACAAUAAGGCGAACCUCCUCUUUGGAUACAAUAACAGGACCUUACCUCACAGGACAGUGGCCACGGGAUCCUCAUGUUCACUACCCUUCAUGCAUGAAAGACAAAGCUACUCAG